rnacentral:rRNA from 1 species
UACGAGGGGGGGCGAGCGUUGUUCGGAAUUAUUGGGCGUAAAGGGUGCGUAGGUGGCGCGUUAAGUCCGUUGUGAAAUCCCUGGGCUCAACCCAGGAAAUGCUUCGGAUACUGGCGUGCUUGAGGCCGGUAGGGGUCACUGGAACUGACGGUGGAGCGGUGAAAUGCGUAGAGAUCCGGAGGAACACCGACGGCGUAAGCAGCGCCCUAAACGAGUACUGACGCUCAGGCACGAAAGCUGGGGGAGCAAACAGG